rnacentral:tRNA from 1 species
GCCGAGGUGGUGGAACGGGUAGACACAACGGACUUAAAAUCCGUUGGACUGCACAGUCCGUGCCGGUUCGAGUCCGGCCCUCGGCA